GGGGAUGCAAGAUUCGAUGAUUUGUUCUUUAAAACAAUGCAAGUCCAGUAUUCUAGAAUCUGGUAAAACUUCUAGAAAAAACAUAUUUGCCAACUUUAACUUCGGUUUUAACCGGCAACUAGCUCCCGCUUUCGCGUAAGCUACAUCGCCCCAUCAACUCCUGAUAGGUGGCCAGCGGUGUUAUACAUCAGGAUAGAUAAUUAUUUUAGCUUUAGGAUAAUUAUUGAAACUAAUAAAGAUCGGGCAUUAGAAUUUCGCACAUCUUUUAUCUAAUGCCUUAAACCAAAGAUACGCUACACUUGUAGAUUUGUUUUUUAAGAGCUUUUCAGACGAGGAUUCAAACCCUCCAUCUCCACUU
rnacentral:tmRNA from 3 species